rnacentral:rRNA from 1 species
CAGUAGCCGCGGGAAUACGAAGGGGGCUAGCGUUGUUCGGAUUUACUGGGCGUAAGGCGCACGUAGGCGGAUCGAUCAGUCAGGGGUGAAAUCCCAGAGCUCAACUCUGGAACUGCCUUUGAUACUGUCGAUCUGGAGUAUGGAAGAGGUGAGUGGAAUUCCGAGUGUAGAGGUGAAAUUUGUAGAUAUUCGCAAGAACACCAGUGGCGAAGGCGGCUCACUGGCCCGAUACUGACGCUGAGGCACGAAAGCGUGGGGCGCAAACAGGAUUAGAUACCCCGGUAGUCCCUGUCUCUUAUAC